rnacentral:rRNA from 1 species
AGAGUUUGAUCCUGGCUCAGAUUGAACGUUGGCGGCAGGCCUAAAACAUGCAAGUCGAACGGUAACAGCGGAAGCUUGCUUCCGGCUGACGAGUGGCGGACGGGUGAGUAACACGUAGGAAUCUACCUAGUAGUGGGGGACAACCCGGGGAAACCCGGGCUAAUACCGCAUACGCUCUAUGGAGGAAAGCAGGGGAUCUUCGGACCUUGCGCUAUUGGAGGAGCCUGCGUCGGAUUAGCUAGUUGGUGGGGUAAAGGCCUACCAAGGCGACGAUCCGUAGCUGGUCUGAGAGGACGAUCAGCCACACUGGAACUGAGACACGGUCCAGACUCCUACGGGAGGCAGCAGUUAGGAAUCUUGGGCAAUGGGCGCAAGCCUGACCCAGCCAUGCCGCGUGUGUGAAGAAGGCCUUCGGGUUGUAAAGCACUUUCAGCGGUGAAGAAAAGCUCAGGGCUAAUACCCUUGAGUCUUGACGUUAACCACAGAAGAAGCACCGGCUAACUCCGUGCCAGCAGCCGCGGUAAUAC